rnacentral:tRNA from 1 species
GGGGUUAUGGCUCAGUGGUAGAGCACUUGCGUCGCAAGUAUGAGCCACUGGGUUCGAUCCUUAGCACCA